rnacentral:rRNA from 1 species
GACGAACGCUGGCGGCGUGCUUAACACAUGCAAGUCGAACGGGAUUUAGUAAACAGAAACCUCGGUGGAAGAUUACUAAUGAGAGUGGCGAACGGGUGAGUAACGCGUGAGCAACCUGCCUAUGACAGUGGGAUAGCCUCGGGAAACCGGGAUUAAUACCGCAUAAAAUCGUAGAAACACAUGUUUUAACGGUCAAAGAUUUAUCGGUCAUAGAUGGGCUCGCGUCUGAUUAGCUAGUUGGUGAGAUAACAGCCCACCAAGGCGACGAUCAGUAGCCGGUCUGAGAGGAUGACCGGCCACAUUGGAACUGAGACACGGUCCAAACUCCUACGGGAGGCAGCAGUGGGGAAUAUUGCACAAUGGGGGAAACCCUGAUGCAGCGACGCCGCGUGAACGAAGAAGGUAUUCGUAUCGUAAAGUUCUGUCCUAUGGGAAGAUAAUGACAGUACCAUAGAAGAAAGCUCCGGCUAAAUACGUG